GAGGGUAUAGCUCAGUGCUAGAGUGUGUGCUUAGCAUGCAUGAGGUCCUGGGUUCAAUCCCCAGUACCUCCA
rnacentral:tRNA from 1 species